rnacentral:rRNA from 1 species
GAUGAACGCUGGCGGCGUGCCUAAUACAUGCAAGUCGAGCGAACAGAUAAGGAGCUUGCUCCUUUGACGUUAGCGGCGGACGGGUGAGUAACACGUGGGUAACCUACCUAUAAGACUGGGAUAACUUCGGGAAACCGGGGCUAAUGCCGGAUAACAUUUAGAACCGCAUGGUUCUAAAGUGAAAGAUGGUUUUGCUAUCACUUAUAGAUGGACCCGCGCCGUAUUAGCUAGUUGGUAAGGUAACGGCUUACCAAGGCAACGAUACGUAGCCGACCUGAGAGGGUGAUCGGCCACACUGGAACUGAGACACGGUCCAGACUCCUACGGGAGGCAGCAGUAGGGAAUCUUCCGCAAUGGGCGAAAGCCUGACGGAGCAACGCCGCGUGAGUGAUGAAGGUCUUCGGAUCGUAAAACUCUGUUAUUAGGGAAGAACAAAUGUGUAAGUAACUGUGCACGUCUUGACGGUACCUAAUCAGAAAGCCACGGCUAACUACGUG